UCUUGUUCUCCUGUUCCGUUUCCACCCAAUGAUAGUUUUGGUCGCAUCGCAUUUCCAAUUUAUUCGUUAUAACGCUCAUUUGACUUCGACGUGAUUCAUUAAUCUUAGAAGGAAAAAAAUUGUAAAUCUGAAAUUUGAUAAUUGGCCUUUAUAAUGUUAUCUUAACUUGGAAAAUAAUUCUUUACUAGACUUAUCAGCAUAUCAAUUCGUUGAAUCCAUUAAUUGCUCUGAUCAUUGCCCAAGUGUUUAUUUGUUAGACCAAUGGAUGUGGUACUAGGAACUAAGUUCCUUGGAAAUUUCAUAAGAUUUAGACUUAAAAGAUGAUUAAUGGGGGAGAUAACAGAAGAAAAAAAAAAAACACAUCCGAAUGAAAGAGAGAAACAGAGAUAACACUCCGAAAAGAAACACCCAAGGCAUAUAAUUCUUAAACAAACCAUUUAAUUUCCAGAGAUAUUGAUAUCCUAUUUAUUUAUCUGAUUUGUACAUUGAUAAGUUUCUUUAACCUUAUCCUAUAUCCGUGCAGCGUCUGACGUAAUUCAAAUAAACCAUAUCAUAGGUGUUAAGAGUAAUUUUUCUGAAAACUCUGUGCUUGUUGAUUUUUACUUUUUCAAGAGAAAUAACUAUUUUUGCUUGGUCUAAUUAUGAACAGCUAUUAAUAUAUUUUAACAGCGUAACCAUUUUUCCUGUUAGGCAUUGGAUUUGAACCAGUUUAGUAUAUUCCUUUUAUUUAUUAUGAAAUUUGUGUUAAUUGUUGUGCUAUUUCUUUCUUUACCCAUCUUUGCUCGGUUUGCUGCACUCCUCUUUUAUUAAUUAUGUAUGAUGGUUACUUUCAAUCAGCAUUUCCAUGUCUUUGCGGAAGAAGUCACCUUAUCGUUUGGUUAGAGAUUACUUCUCAUAUGGUCUCAGGCAUUGUUGCUGUAGUGUUUGUCUGUGUUUCGGCUAAGAUUUGUGAAAUCAAGUUACUAUUUGUAAACUUUGUUUGGAAGAAAUCCUAUAAGAAAAAAGUGUUGAUGUGCUGACUGUUGGUUUUUUGCUUUCUCAAGUGCAGAAAUGUUGUUUCUUAAAUGCUUUCUUCUGGCGGGAAAUUCUGAUGCCAUCUCCAGAGUCUUCAGAAUGUAAUGCACUCUAUCGACCGUGCAACCUGAAUGUAAUGUUACGCCUGGUUCAAAAUCUUGUUCGAAGAAGCUCACCUACAACCCCUGCACUCUCACCCUCACCCCCCUAUCUCGAUUUUUCAGUGCAUUUGUUGCUCCAGAACACUUGCUUGCAACGUUAUUUCUCUGGGGGGUCAAAGGCGUCGGCGUCACGCCCUAGUCUCUCCAUAUGGAGGCGCAAGAAAGAGAUGGGGAAGGAAGGUCUCAUGGUGGCUAAGGAGCUCAAGAGGCUCCGCUCUCAGCCUCUCCGCCUUGACCACUUCAUUCGCUCCCAUGUCUCCCGCUUGCUCAAGUCCGAUCUCCUCGCUGUUCUCGCCGAGUUCCAGAGACAAGACCAGGUCUUUCUCUCUAUCAAGGUUUGUUUUCUUUACUUCUUCUCUCUUAAAUUUUUGUCCGAAUUUUUGUUGUCAUUAUCAUUAUAUUAUGGUAGGUCUGGGAGAGGUCGCACUUGGUGCGAUGGCAAGUGCCUUCGCCCAUGAGCGGUAGGUCUCGGGUUCGAGACUUGGGAGCAGCCUCUCCAUAAAUGGGGGUAAGGCUAGCCGACAUUCACCUCUCCCAGACCCUGCGUAAAGCGGGAGCCUUGUGCACUGGGUACGACCUUUUUUUUAUCAUUAUAUUAUGGUUCUGCAUGUUGGGGUUUUAAAAAAAAAAGUUGCUUUGUUUGAUUUUCUAGAAAAUUCAAGAUGGAAAUGUUAAAUUUAUGAAUGUAGAAUGAUGAAUUGUUUGGGCUCUUAUUUGUUGGAGCCUUGGAGGCCAAUGCAUAUUGAGAAACAAUUCACAGUUACCUAACCAUCAUGGAGGUAUGAAUUCUCUUUUGGCAUAGGAUAGCCUGGCUAAUGUGCACCGCUACACGUACAAAUUCUUAGUUUUCCAUCUUCAGGAGCAGAAUUUUGUGAUUUCUUUCACUGUGAUUCAUCUGCAGUAUUGCUAAUCUGCUACUAUCUAAAGUAGUGCUUGGUUCAGUUGAAUAAAAAUUGAAAUGGAAUAUACCUUGUCGAGAACACUUUUAUUGGUUAAUUAGAAAUUUACAAGUUUGCACUAUCUUCUAAGUGUAAAAAGGUCGUACCCAGUGCACAAGGCUCCCGCUUUACGCAGGGUCUGGGAGAGGUGAAUGUCGGCUAGCCUAAUUAUUUAUUCUGGUCAAUUACAACAUUGUGGUAGGGUGUGACUGUAACUAAUCAAGUCUUAGCUAGACCAUGAGAUGAUACUGGAAAGGCUAAAUGAUAUCAGUAAAGAAACAGAAAACUUCCUCUGUAAGUGUUCAAUUGUAUUGACUGAAUGAUAACUUUACAGUGUGUAGAUAUAUAUAGCCUUUGGCUAUUUACAUAGAUACCCCUGACUACUUUUAUAGCUGUCCUAACUAAUCUCAACAGAUACUACAACUAAUUACAUUCAGUUAUUUAAUAGUAAUAGAUUGUUAACAGUAACAGAAUUGGAUGACUUGUCAUUCUCCCUAAUACACCCCCUCAAGCUAGAAGGGGAAUCCGAAAUGAGUCCAAUUGGAAGCUUGGAACACAGAUAGGUGAAUCUGUUUUUAGACAGGGACUUGGUAUGAAGAUCAGCCAAUUGGUCUUCACUGCAAAUAAACCGUACUUGAAGGAGUUUUGCCAGAACCAAUUCUCUAAUAUAGUGCUAAUCAAUUCUCUAAUAUAUAGUGGUACUUGGGUUCGCACAAUCCUCUUCAGAUGCUUCUUUAUUUGUUCUCAAUGGUCCUCAGUUGGUGAUUGUUCUUGUCUAUGUUAAUGAUAUUCUUGUCACUGGACCCCAUCCUCAACUUUGCCAACACUUUAUCAAGCAACUCGGUGCCCAAUUUCCAGUGAAAGACCUUGGUCCUUUACACUAUUUCUUGGGUUUAGAGGUACACAGAUCUUCACAAGGCAUAUUUCUCCACCAAACAAAGUACUUAUUGGAUCUUCUUAAGAAAACCAACGUGGAGGGUGCAAAACCUUGUUGCACUCCUCUUGGAUCUAAGAAACUAGAUCAUAGUGGGCCUCUCUUGUCCAAUCCUACUGAAUAUCGUUCCAUUGUUGGUGGUUUACAAUAUCUAACUUAGACUAGACCGGAUCUUGCCUUUGCUGUGAACCAAAUCUGCCAAUUUGUGCAUGAUCCCCGAAAGCAACAUCUUCAGGUAGCAAAAAGGGUUCUCAGAUUUCUCAAAGGUUCUUUUUCCCAUGGUUUGUGGUUCACUAAAGGUCCUGUCCAUCUUUCAGCAUACUUUGAUGCUGAUUGGGCUGGCUGCACAUUUGACAGGUGAUCAACUGGCUAUUCUGUCUUCUUGGGUUCUAAUCUUAUUAGCUGGAGUGCCAAGAAACAAAGCACUGUUGCACGGUCAUCUACAGAGGCUGAAUAUCGCUCCUUAGCUCACACAGCUGCUGAAAUCACUUGGGUUUGCAAAAUUCUCAAAGAUUUACACUAUCCUCUAUCUACAUUGCCUACUCUUUGGUAUAUCCCAAAAAAAUACAACUUUUGCUCUUGGGAUCCAAUUUGGUAUGAAUAUAGGGUUUGAGCCAAGGGAAGCAUUGACAACCAAACACUUUUAGUUUAGAGUAGUCUGGAUGGCGGUGAAACAACAACUCCCAAGGUGACUGUGAAACACCAGAGAUGGGAAGGAUUAAUAAGGUAGAUGGCAGUGGAGAAAGCUUCUACCCAGAAAAGAUGAGGGACAUGAGAGGCAACAAGUAGAGUUCUAGCUGUCUCAACAAGGUGCCGGUGCUUUCGUUUUGCAUAACCGUUUUGCUCAGGAGUGUGGGGACAGCUGAAAUGAUGAAGAAUGCCAUGUUUGCUAAGAUAUGAUGCAAAAGAAUGACUUGUAAGAACUUUUAUUUUAUUUCCAAGUAAAUUUUCUACAUAUGAUUUGAAGACAACAAAUGUAGAGAAUACAUCGGACUUGGAUUUCAAAGGAAAGAACCAACUAUAUUUGCUAUAGUCAUCAACAAUAAACAAAUAAUAUUGAAAACCACUAUUGGAUUUGACCAAGGCAGGUCCCCACAGAUCACAGUGCAGUAGCUGAAGACUUUGAGUUGUUGAUGAAGUAGCUGCUUUAAAUGGGAGCUUAUGAUUCUUAGCCAGUGCACAAUAUGAGCAGAAAAAAUCCACAGUAGUCUUGCCUUGUAAAGCAAGAUUAUUAGUUGAAAUUACCCAUCUGAAAAUGGAGGAGGAAGGAUGACCCAAGCGCCUGUGCCAAUCUUUAACAGGAGCUUUAAUACUGAGUAAGGCUGUAGGUGAAGAAGAAUGAGAGUUGCUUGAACUUUGAAGAGGAUAGAAACCAUCUUUAACCGGUCCCCGUAAAAGCAUCUUCCCUGAAAUACAAUCCUUGACAUAGGAUCCAUAAGGGUCAAGUGUCAACGAACAAUUAUUAUCAUGAACAAACUGAUAAGCAGAUAAGAGAUUAUGUUUUAUGUGAGGAACAUGUGAAACAUUUCUUAGGUGAAAGGAGGUAUGAGGAGUGUGCAGAGAAAAGAAGAUGAACCAACAUUAAGAAUAGACAAACCUUUACUGUCUCCAACAUACACUUUAUCCUCGCCAGUGUAGUAGGAGAGGUAACGUUAGCAACAUCACUAAUGAUGUGAGAGGUUGCGCCGGAAUCAAUUAACCAAGGUUGAGAUGGUUUAGCAGAAUAAUGAGCACACAUGGCAGUGAGUUUAGCUGGAGGAAUACGACCACUGAUAUACGAAUUCAUAUGAUCGAAACAGUCAAUAGCCUCAUGACUGGUAGAACCACAUAUUUGACAAGGAACUUUGAAGUGAGAAGAACCUUGAUUGUUGUGAGAGCCUUGAUAACCUCGAUUGCCACGAUUGUUGGUAAAGGUACCAUGAUUUCCUCGAUUACCUCAAUUGGAAAAGAACUGCCCCUUAGUGUUCCUACCACGAUUGGAGUUAAACCGAGAUGCAAAGUGAAGAGGUUGAUGCUGAGCAGCAAAUGCAGAUGGAUUAGGAAGUAGGGAAGGCUGAGAUUGCACCGAGAAGGCCUAGAAAAGUUCACUAACAGAAGAUGAACUAACAGUUUUGCGCCUUGCCAUAGACAAUUCCUUUGUAAGAAGGUCAUGAAGUUCAUCAAGAGAGGUAGAGGACAAUCGAAGCAUGAUAGAAUCUAUGAAAGACUCAAAUUCAUAAGGCAAGCCAUGUAGUGUGGCUGCAAUAAGAUCUCGAUCAGACACAGAAGCAUCAGCGACUUGCAAGGAAUCUGAAAUUUCCUUGAGAUCUUGAAGAUAUUCAAAGAUGGAACGAGAUCCUUUCUGAAUAGAUUGAAGGCGCGAUCGCAGUUGAUGGAUAUGAGCCUUUGAAAUGCCAGCAAAACGCUGUUCAAGCUUCACCCAAAGCUCUUGAGAUGACGAAACCCCAAUCGUGAAAGGGAUGAUUUCCUCAGAAAGUGUGGAAUUCAACCAAAUCAAAAGAUUUUGAUCUUUUUCAUACCAUUCCUCAAAAGCAGGAUUGAUGCGACGAUCAGGGAGAAAUGGCGAUGGACAGACUUCGAUACCAUCAAUGAUGCCAAGAAGCUUAUAUCGCCGGAAAAUCGGGCCAAAUAGUGCCGCCAUGGUAGAUAAUUUGAUCUUUUCAACUUGAUCGGCACCAUGCUACCGAUGUUGUGAAUUGUAAGAGAAGUGUAGGAAUUCAUAGGAUUGGGAUUACAAGAGGAAUUAGGGUUUGGGCUCGAGGGGGAGAUGACCGGAGAAGACGAUCCAGUCGACGGAGCCGCCAUUACUGACAGAAAUCAAGAUCGUAGAAGACAAAUCGAAGAAUCAGAGAAAAAAAAUAACAAGAAUCGAUCACAAAUCGAUCGAUGUAGCGAGCGGAAAGGGAGAUCGAAGCGGUGAAGCAAAAUGGCGAGAUACCAUAAAGGAAGUUUUCAAUUGUAUUGACUGAAUGAUAACUUUACACACUGUGUAGAUAUAUAUAGCCUUUGGCUAUUUACAUAGAUACCCCUGACUACUUUUAUAGAUGUCUUAACUAAUCUCAACAGAUACCACAACUAAUUACAUUCAGUUAUUUAAUAGUAAUAGAAUUGUUAACAAUACCAGAAUUGGAUGACUUGUCAUUCUCCCUAAUAAUCAGAUCCUCCUUUAGGGCCUAUAAAUUAGAUGCACAUUAGUUGGACUCAUUAGAGCCUAUAAAUUUUGGUGGGUUUUUUUUUUGGGGAGGGGGGGGGAUCUCCCAUAUUUUUACUUUUCUUCUUUCUUCCUUAGACUCAAUAGAAUAGUUGGACUCAUUAGGGCCUAUAAAUUUUGGUUGGUUGGUUGGGGGGGGGGGGGUGAUCUCCCAUACUUUUACUUUUCUUCUUUCUUCCUUAGACUCAAUAGAAUAGGAGGAAUAAGGAAAAGGAAAGUGUGGCUAGGGUCUUAUAUCAGGGCCCCACCUUUUCUAAAUCAGUAGAGCCGCACCAUUUGUUGGAGAACAAGAGGGUGAUGGUUCUAAACCCUCACACCCUUGUAAGGGUACAGCAAAGGAAAAUUAAAUCCUUUAUCUACCUUCUCAAAAAGGAAGUCACAGUAAGAGCUCCAGUGCAAGAAGCUCCCUGCUCUCCCCCUUUUUUUAUUGCUUGCAGAAAAUUAAGAGUUUUCAUGAGGUGUGGGGUUUCUCAGUUUCUAUUGUAGCGUGUAUUGUCUUGCAUUUUAAGUUUCUAAUAUGUUCAUAUGCACAGAAACCUGCUAGUUUAUCGUGCAACUUUGGCUGGUUGUACUAGGCUUUGUUCUUAGUCAUCCAAAAAUAAAUUAACAGCUUCUCACAAGCAUGCAUUUUGUAUCUAGAUUUGCCCACGUGAAAGGUAGGACAAAAUAAAAUGAAAAUAAGGUGAGCUCGAAAGGACCUGCAACUAUGAGCAGGGAUUGUAAAUUUGUGUAAGUUCAGGCUACAAAGGGAUUGGAGAAAAAGUAAAGUUGCCAUACAAAAACAAAGCUUUGAUAGCGACUUCAAAGAUACUGGAAAAUUUUGUGGAUCUUUGCUGAUUCCUCUCAAUGAAAUUUGCCGUGUUGCACUAAGUUACUUACGGAUGUAUGCAUGCAAUCCGGGAACCCUUUGGGGUCGAUCAACCAUAGGACCUGUUUAGAGUUAUUUGGUCCUUUAUUUUCCGUUUAGUUGAGUUUCUUAUAUUGCAUCAACAAGUGCACAUGCAUAUUUCUUCUGAAAGGAAAGGAGCAUUUUACUCUUUUUGGUUGGGGUGGGUGAGGAAGGAAAUAUGCAUGUUGAUUGGCUUGGUGAGGAAGGAAAUAUGCAUGUUGAUUGGCUAUCCUGCAAUGUUUUCUUUUACUAAUACAUAAUGUUUUUAUUUUUCCAGAUAUAUGAUGUGGUUCGUAAAGAGAUUUGGUAUAGACCGGACAUGUUCUUUUAUAGGGACAUGCUUAUGAUGCUUGCAAGAAACAAAAAGGUGGAUGAAGCAAAGAAGGUUUGGGGAGAUCUGAAGAGAGAGGAAGUUUUAUUUGAUCAGCAUACUUUCGGGGACAUCAUGAGGGCUUUCCUAGAUAGUGGUUUGCCCUUGGAGGCAAUGGAGAUAUAUGGUGAAAUGAGACAAUCACCUGAUCCUCCAAUCUCAUUGCCGUUUAGGGUAAUAUUGAAGGGCCUCCUCCCGUACCCAGAACUGAGGGAGAAGGUGAAAGAUGACUUCUUGGAGCUAUUUCCUGAUAUGAUCGUCUAUGACCCACCUGAAGACUUAUUUGAAGACAAAGAAUGGAAAAGAGAGAGUGAAGAUGAUGACUAAUAGUGCUGCAAGGCAUGAUGCAAUCCGUUGUGUGUGGUGUUUAAGUAGGUCUUUUACUAGUAGAUGGUUGAUCUGCUGCAUGCUACAACAAUUAAUCCAGCACUUAAGUUUGUGUUGCAACGAGUAAGUAACCCUGAUUCUAUUAACAAAGUAUUGUCUUGUAAAUGCUUUUGGGAAGUCUUAUUCAAAUAGUUAGGCAGACUUAGGUAUGCGAUCCUAGUUUUGGUUUUAGUUAUCGUUCUCAUGUUUGGGUUGAAACAAUUUUUGUUUCCGAGUUUCAAAUUACUACUAUCCUACUGCCCUACCUAUGCCCCAAAUGUCUUAUGUAAAUGAAAUAAUUUUCCGUUGGCGGGCUUUCAUCGCCAUUUAGGGUUUUGAUGCCAAAAAAUGGACCAACUCCGUUGGUGAAAACACUAGAUUAUUCAUUCCAAUUCAAAUGAGGUCAUGAAAGAGAAUAUUGAUCCCUUUUUAUUUACAUCAAUUUCCUUUUAAAUAAAUAAAUAUAUAUAUAUAUAUAUAUAUAUAUAUCAUAAGUCUAUAUCUAUAUAGAUAUAGCCUCACAGUGAUAUAGCCUCACAGUGGGACUAACUAAUGUAUUUGGGGGCAGUUUUUGUCCAAUGCCAAGUGAACGCCAUCGCGAACAGUUAAGUACUCUUCCAAGGCAGGAUCUGAAACCUCGAGUGUAGCUACCGGCUUUGUCACGGAAUAUGACACCAGCUCCCCUUGACCGGUAGCAGCGUGAAAGUCUCGGUCUAUAUGAAUUUGUAACCAUUGGUUAGGACUUGGAGGGAGCCACCGAGAAGGAGAAGAGAUUGGUUUUGCAAUCGAGUCGGGCUGAGCAUUCAAAUAGUCUAACAAAUUCGAAUCAGCUAGACGGCCCACAACUGCCGGAUCUUUUACGAGCACGUCGAAUAAAAUACGAACCUGAUAGCUGCCAAGUACAAGCAAUGUGGUAUAACCUUGCUUAGAAGUGAGGACGAGAACAAACUGCCUUGGCGAAUGGACAACCUUUUGGCCACAUGCAGCGGCAGCGCCGACUCCAAAAAGAAACUACAAAAUAGACAUAUCUAGUUUAGUUACCAAAUUCGAUCUAGUAGGGAGAAUGUCAUUGCAUAAUUUCCAUAAGUAAAUUUUAAUUGGAUUUGGAACCUUAGAAUUCCAUAGAGCUUUCCAAAGUGUAGAAAAAGCUGCAGAGGAACUAGAGGAUGGCCUCUCAUAAUUCAAAUCAAAACCCACUCUUCACAGAGACUGAACCCUUAUACCUACUUCAACCUUUGGAGUAAAACUUUAAUUUUAGGUUAUAAACUUACCUCAACUUGCUCCAACCCUUUGGACAAAUGAUGUGGUAGAAACUAACACACAAAUUAAACCCUAUAAAUUAUGCAAUCGUAAUAUGAGUAAGUAUGGAUCGUUCUAUUCAGGGGAUUAGAAUGGAUGCUAAUCAACACAAAUUAAACUUAUAAAACUGAAAACUAAGUUAAACUAACAAUAGAACAAUGACUGGGGGGAUUUUGGACGAGUUUGAUUAAAACAAAAGUAAAUGGCAGCAAGUAAAUUAAGUUGUGAAUGAAAUAUGGAUGAAAUGAUAGCUAAAUGAUUCUUCUCCACACAUGAAACAUAUGCAUACAAAUCGAUUUCCAGUUAUUCUUCUUAUAAACCAUGAAUGACAAUGCCCCAAAUUAACUGUGAACAUCACCAAUUAACUCUCAGAUUUUCCUCAGUUCAUUGAAUUGGACUAAGCGACGCAACCAAAUUAUUUUUCUCAAGUUCCCUAACUAUGAAAAGCAUGAUAGAGAUACAUCUUAAAGAUCAUUUAGUUCUGUGAAAAUCAUAAGCAUUGACAAAACAUUCGUAACUAUGAAAAACAUGAUACUCCUACCAAGAAUUUACUUAACUCAAUCAUGACUAGUUACUACUUACAAAUAUAAGUUCAUAACUAUUAGGUGAAAUUCCCUUAUAUUCUAGCAUCAAAUCCCUGCAUGCAAACUAAGUAUGCAUCUUUAAUAAACAUACAAGAAUAAGUUCUCUAUAAAGCAAAUAAAUAAAUCACAUUCAUGCUUUAUGAAACAAUAACUUAAUGGAAUCAAUUUAUAUAAAACAUAUGAUCAUGGCUUCGAAUUCAUCUCUAGCUAAAAAGAAACUUAGUUACACAUAUUCGUCAUAACUAAAAAGCAAUUUAAAAUAAACAUUGAAACUUAAAACAAAGAUAGAAAGAACUCUGAAAAUUCUAGCAACUUCAAUGGAUGAAUGUUAGGCGCGGCACACCCAAAAUCGUUGCAGGAAUUUCAUAUAUAUAGGGGAAACAACUGAAUCCAAGGAGGUUUUGGCGUUUUAAAUUAUUUUAGAACUCUAAGAAUCAGGAAGAGUGUUGGAAUGUGAUUAGGAUUUCUCUUUGCAGCUGGAGAUAAGAUAAGAUAAUGUUGGAUAAGAUAGGAUAAGAUAAUAUUCCUCUUCAACUAGGAUUCCUCUUUCUUGUGUAAUUCCUUACCUUACAAGCCUCAACUUUAAUUUAUCCAGAUUUUAGCAUAUGUUUAACACCAUUUAAACACCAAAAAUGUCCAGCCUAUAUGCUAUCCAAUCGAAGUCCAAAACUGCUCCAAAUUGCUCCAUUUGGCUAUCUAUUGUCAUCUUUACCAACUGGACAUACAAUAAUAAGAAAAUAACUUAAAUUACUACAAUAAAUGGAAAUUAACUAAGAAAAUACAAAGAAAUAAGAUAACAAAGUUGAAUAAAUAUGCUUCUAUCAACAAAUAUGAGUUUUAACUCAAAACUCAUUUAUGAGGCAAAUUUAGGCUAGCAUUUUCCCUGGGUUAGUAGGGCUGGCCCAUCAUAUACGUGUAUUUUUUUUUUCAAUUUUAUAUUUAUAAAUUCAUUGAAUCCAAUGGCUAAGAUCUAAUAUGAUCAAAUCCAACAGUUAAAAAAAGAUCUAACAAUCCAAAUUUAAAUCGAAUGGCUAAAGUAAUUAAGAAAAAUUCUUUUAUUUGUUUCAUAUUCUUUAAUAGCGUUCCACGAGUUUUUGUCGAAGUUCCUUUUGAGUGCAAAUAUAAGGAUAGUAUAGUGGCACAAGUAAGGGUGUCGAACCACAGGGAAUGAGAAACAACUUAGUAAAACCUUUUACAAAUUAGUAUUAGUUAAAGACUCCUAUGAUUUAGUAAAACCUUUUACAAAUUAGCAUUAGUUAAAGACUCCUAUGACUUAAAAUGGGGGGUUUGAGUAAUUUUGGAAAAGAAAUAAAGGCAAAAAGAAAAGGGAAAAAUUAGAACUAUCUAAAAACAAACCUAAGACAUGGAAUAGAUUAGAAACGUUUUUAGGACAUAAAUUUGACUUCAAAUGAACACAGGUCUACUAAACAUUCAUGAAUCAGUGAUAUGAUCUUUUAACUUAUCCUUUUCAAAUGCACAACUAAGAUGUUCACAUAUCUAGCAUGGCAUAUAACUAGAUUGUAUGAAUCCUCUCUUACUUUGCAUGUUAGAUGCAUGUCAUAUACAUAAAACUUAUAUUUGUAAGUGCAACCUAGCAUGACAUAUACUCAGAUUUAGUACCUAGAAACUCAUUAAGAACGAAGAAGAUCAUGAACCCUAGAACAUGUCAUUUAUCCUAGAACUUCAUGGAAUCAAUUUACAUGAUUAGUUUUAAACCUAACCACAUGUUGCUAAUGAAUGAAAGAAGAUAUGGCAGUAAUCCUUAUCAUUCUCAACAGAAAGCAAACAUAAACAAGGUAGCUAAGCUUGAAAAUAUGUGCUUGAAAUGAUUGAAACAGAAAACCGAUUCUAGCUUGCAAAUGAAAUUGAUAAACUAAAAACUGCAUCAUAACAUUAAUGCAAUCAUGUCUAGGAUUUCAAAGUAGCCCUAAGUAUCCAUAAAAACAAAAUACAUAAAAAGUCAGGAAAGCUAGAACCUAGAAAACAGCUCAAGGCUGAAGACUCUUGCUCUCUCCCUAGAUUCUCCUCCUUCUGUUGAGUAUUUGUCUCCUAUUAAAAGGCUUAGGACUUAUCUAAAAUCUGACACAUAUACAUCCUUGAAUUUACUCUCAUUUAUAACUCAUAACAACCAGCUUUUAGUAUUGGAGUAACUAAAAUCUAGUUGUUAUCAGAAUUUGUAACUGAACAGCUCCUCUUUAUUCUGUUAUAACUUCUUGUCGAAACUUCCAAAUCACAAGUUGUAAAGGCCAUCAGAAAGAAGACUUCCAGGGCUUUCCAACCAUAUAUGGCCUAUUUUCUAAUUCGUUCUGAGCACUUCGGGACAAAGCUCACAAGUUGGCUGUUUUGAAAAGACCUUUUUUGACGAAUCUUAGGCCAAUAUUCAAAAUAAGAUGAUUUCUCCAAGCCUUUACUUUCAUCCUGAAAUACAAUACAAAUAACAAAAUACCUUGUGAUUAGGGAUGGGUAAAUACCCAUUGGUUAUGGGUAACCGCGGUUACCCGCCCAUUUAAAUUAAACGGUUACGGUUAUGGGUAACCGUUUACCCAUUUAUUUUAUAUAUGUAAAACUAACACAAACCAUGUUCUUGAUCCAAUAAUACUUAGCACCCAAUAAAUUAGCAAGGAAUUCAUCGGUCCUUCUCUCAAUAACACUGCUACAGGAAUGAUGAUUCUCAUCAUCAAGGAAUUCGCCAAAUUAAUUUAAAUUCUUUGCGGGUAACCGUGAAAUUGACAGAAAUGAUUUGACAGAAAUGUCUUCUAAACAAUUUUUGUAACCCAAUAAUACUUAGCAAAUAUUAUAUUUACCUUCAUUGGUAACAGUUAAAAAUAUCGUCUGUAAACUAUUAUUUCAAUUAUUGGAAUGGUAUAAAAACUUAAAAAAUUAAAAUACGGAAAUGUAUGAUGAAUGUACCUAUAACGGUGUUUAAUUGUAAAAAAAAAAAUUAUGACAAUUUUUUUUAAUUUUCAAGUUGUUAAAAAAACAUGUAGACGUAGGGGUGGGUUCGGUACGGUUACCGUACCAAAACCCUCGUACCAAUUACGGUAUCAAACUUUCGGUUUGGUAAAAUCUAUUACCAAUACCAUACCAAACUUUCGGUAUACCGAAGUUCGGUAUUGCCAAAUGUUCGGUUGGCAUGGUAUGGCAAUGGUAAUUGCCACUUUGUUUUGGGACAAAAUUUGUUUUGGCUUUUUUAACCCAAUUCAAGUGCAAAACUUUUUUAUUGUACCUUUAUCUAAUACUUUGUAGCCUAAAUUCAUCUAUUAUUCAUCAUUCACAAUUCACACACACAAUAAUUCAAAUGAUGCAUCAAGAUUCAUGAUGAAAAUUAAGUUUACAAUCCAAAUAGAAGCUACGACCCAAAACAAAUAGAAGUUUCCCCCAUGCUAAAGAUCGUCUCUAUCCUCCAUUGGUUCAAACACACUUCUAGAACUUUCCCAAUGUCUUCUCCCUUAUGACCUGUGAUCUUUAUGAAGUUUAUAAUCCGUUUGUGCAACUUUCAUUCCCUAUCCAUGAAGUGAGCGGUAACUACCAUGUAGUUAAUGUUUUGUACCGAUGUCCAAGUAUCGGUUGUGAUACUUACCAUUUGAUUAUGCAUUGCUUCAAAUAACUUAGACUUCUCCAACACAUAUAAAUCACACACACUAGCCGCAAUCUUCUUCCUAUUUGGAAUCUUGAACUGAGGUUGAGCCUCUUUCAUCAUAUCAAAUUAUUAGAAUAUUAUAAAUAUGUGUUAUAUAAUUAUAUAUUAUAUAAUUUAUAAAUUAUAUAUUAUAUUAUAUGUUCGGUACGGUAAGGUAAUACCGUGGUAAUGAUAUCCAUUACCAAUACCGUACCAUGAAAUUUCGGUACGGUACAAUACCGUACCAUUACCGAUUGGCACAAAAAAUUUGGCACAAAAUCGGUAUGGUACGGUUGGUAAUUCGGUUGGCACGGCAAUUUCGCAAAAAAAUCCACCCCUAUGUAGACGGGUGAAAAAGGGGUAAUGGUAAAAAAAAAAAAAAGAUAAACGGGUUAAAAAGGGUAAAUGGGUAAACGGGUAUUAAACGGUUACGGUUAAAUGGGUAUGCGGUUAUGGGUAUGGUUAACCAUUUAUAAACGGUUAUAGGUAUGGAUAUAACCGUUUAGACAAUUACCCAACGAGUAAACGGUUAUGCGGGUAUGAGCAUAAACGGUUAUGGGUAAAUAACCGCGGUUACCCGUCCGCCAUAACCGUUGCCCAUCCCUACUUGUGAUGCAUAGAGAUUUUAAGUAAAAAAACCUAAGUAAAAGAGCGCAUAUAAAUAUAACUUUAUGCACUCAACAGUUUCAUGGUGUUGAUUUAGUGAUUUUUCAAUAUUUAUCGGAAUCUAAAUAUUUUUAGGUUAAAAUGUUCAUAAAAUAAAUCCAGAUAGUCUACAUAAUUUUUUUUUUUUAAAAGGAGUUACUAUAAGAAAAAAAAAUCAUAUAGUCUACAUAUUUAUCAAAAUCUAAAUAUUUUUAAGUAAAAAAUUUUAGGUUUUAACCCGAAAGUUCGAGAUAAUGGAGGAAUGAGCCAAACGGUAAGAAAUGUGCUAUUAUUUAUAACUGAACUUGUGGGCGCUGGAUGAGGAUGAGAUCAUAUUUGUUGAUAAAAAUUUCUUACCUGGUACAAUGUUUUAUCUCUCAUCCAUAUUAUUGACAUUAUACUUAAAGUUAGCAAUUUUUCUUCAAUGAUAGUAAUAUUGAUAGUAUAGAAAAUGAAUACAUAAAAUGAAUAGUUUAGAUUGAAAAUAAAAAGUUUAACAAUUAUGAAAAUCAAAUUUAACGAUUAAAACACCUAUAAAAAUGAGUGUUAAAUAGCAUUGAAGCUACUUCCUAAAGUUAAACUUAUUGGACACAUGAUUAAAUAUAAAAUAUAUAUUUUUUAAUUAUUUUUCUAAAUCAAGGCACAACCUUACUUGCAAGCACGAGAACCGACCAUAUUGAGUCAAUGACCACUCCACUCACUCUCUAUGCACAUUCUUUCUUCCACUCCUUACAAAUUUAGAAAUCUCCCACCUCUAUAUUUAAUUACUUUAUACAAACAAAAUUAAGAAAAAGAAGGGGUCAAGAUAACGGACGUGGAUCCCCUCUUGAUCCAUUAUGUGGGGAUCCUAGGGAUCCUCACAUCUGAGCCGUACAUUGUAAAUAGUGCGGUCAGAAAUCAUUUUACUUUUAUUAUUUUAAAUUAAACACAAAUAGUGUCUAAUGAAAACUGACCACACGAUAUACGAUGAAUGGUUGAGAUGUACCGGAGGGAUUCAAGAUAACCAUACUUUCUAUAGAGCUCACAACCGAGCAAUUUUUUGGUAUACUUAGAAUAUGGUCAGGGUGAGUUAUUAUUUAAUUCAAAUUGCAAUACGUUAAUUUACGUACAAAGUUAUUUUUGACACUUAAAAAAAAUCAUUUGAUACUCUUUCUUCAUGUUUUUAUCUCUUAUAAAGGUGCAUACUGACUAUUUUAGAGAGUUAAUAAUAACAGGAUUUUAUUUUAUUUUAUUAAUUUACUGUAGAUGUGAAACGUGCCAAUCAGUUGCCAACAUUUAUUAUAACACGUAAAUGAUACACUAUGUAAGUUGUGUUUUCAGUACCUGAAAAUUUUUACAAGUAAUAAAUUACUAAGUGCCCAAUUUCAACACUACAUGUGACAGCCUGUCCCUAAAAAUUAUGCUUUUUGUAAUUUCAAAAAUGUGAAUUUGCAAAAAUGCCCUAGAGGUGAAGGUGUUGACUUUCAUUGACCAAUGUGUAGUGGGAUGUACUAAAUAUUCUUUUAACGUAUUCCUGAGGUACUCGACGAUAUGAACGAGUAAGCGCAAACAGAAUUGAAUUUGGAAUUACGAACCGAAAGUAUUUUGAAUAAAUAACUAUUCUAUUUAUAUUAUAUUAAUGUAUGUUAAAUUAGGAGGACAUGUGUGUGUGAGUGUGUGUGUGUAUGUGACGGAAAGGGGGAAGAAAAAGAAGAGGAAUGGGGGGAGAAGAAGCAAGGAGGAGAAAGAAGGGAGAAAAGAAAAAGGGGAAACCGGGUUUCCCUUAACCCGUGACCCGACCUGGUGGAUUCUCCCAUCUCUGGCCACCUUGGACGACAAGCUUAGUGUCAAAAUGACCUUUACCAUGAGGCCAACGGAUCCCUCUUCCAUUUACAUGUGAAAAUUGGGUGGAAAUUGGUGAAUUUUGGGUAAAAUCGUGCAAAAAGGGGGCGCACGGGUUGGUUUCAUUCCGCCAUGAUUGGAAGUUACCUCCUCCAAUUAACACUACAAAUAAACUCCCCUCAACCUCAGGAACAAAGCCCAAGCACUUGUGGAGGCAUUGGAGUGAGCAUGGAGGUUGAAUUGAAGCACACCAUUUUCUAGGGUUCUGGCGGGUUUGAGCAAAAUUGGAGCUUUUUUCGGCCAAAUUGGAAUUGGUCACAGGUAUAAAAGUUACUCUACUCAUUGAGAUAUUCAUUCUUGUAAAUUUUGGUAAUUUUUGGAAAUAGUUGGAUUUUCGGGCGAGUCGGGGCGACCGACCACCACUUGUCGCGGCACGUGCGGCGGUGCGUGGCCAGGAGAUUUUCGAUGCUACUUUUAAGCUAAAUUAAAUGCCCUGAAUUCAGUUUUGAUAUCUGAAUGUCAUAGGUUGAUCGUUUGAAUCAAAUUUUGUUACGAUACUUGGUUUGGUCAAAAUAUGAAUCGACGAUCCGACCGUUGGAUCGUCACCAAACUUGGAUACAUUAUAAUACGUAAUAUUUAUGGAUCAUAGGAAUUUACGGAUCGGGAAUCCGAAGUACUGAUCUUCCCGAAUUGGAUUUGUAAAUUUGUAAAAUAAAUGUUAACUGCCACUUGGUUUUGGGCAAUUGGCGGAGAUCCGACCGUUGGAUAGUAAUGAAAUUUUAAGAUGUUGUUCUAGAAGCAUAAUGUGUAUCUUUGGAAGUAAUGGAUCAGAAAUCCUUAAUGCAGAUCUUCCAGAUCAAAUCUUAAGGGUGUGUUUUAUGUUAAUUAUGUAUUUUUAUCGAUCAGUAGAAGAAGGCCUUUGACUCGUGACUCCAAACCCAAACCCUUAACCCUUUUAAUUCUUUUGUUUUUUUUGUUAUUUGUUAAAUUGAAGGCCUAAACCCAAACCCAAUCCCUAAAACCUUAAACCCUUUUAGUUUAGGCCUUUGGGCCUAGAACCUUUAAAUCCAACCUAUUAAACUAACCUAACCUAAUAACCCUUAACCCAGAUGAAAUAUUCUGUUAGGGAAUAUCCCAUCCGUCUGAGAAUAUUCCGUCCUUCAGGGAAUAUUCAUCCUGUUGACUUUUGUUGACUUUUCGGAAAUUUAAGCGGGACUCUUCUUAGGGUAAUUCGACGUCCUGAAUUCGUUUUUGACGUUUGUUUUCCCAAAUUCAAUUGUUAUGAUAUAGUUUUAUUAAUUGUACCUUUAUGUGCUUAGAGGCAAUUAUUAGUGGCGUUUCCAUCUUCGCUAGGUUGCGUGGCUCGUCAGCGGCGAAGUAUCUGUGAAUGGGCAGUUUAUUUUAUACCUAUACAUAUUGAUAGUUUCCCUAAAUGCGUAGUUACUUCACUUUUACGCUUAUAUUGCCAAGUAUUCGAUAUUGUGAUAUGAAAUGUGAUAAAUGCUGCUAUAUGGUUGAGAUAUUAUUGUCAUGACAUUCAUAGAUAUGUGUACAUGCUCAUCUUGCUGCACCCCGGUGUUAGUACUCCACCCAGGGCCAGGGCCAGUCCUUCACGUGUAUGUUCACAUCUGUACCAUUCGCUCGCCUUGGAUCCAAGUUAGGUGCCAAUCUUUUUGAGUAGAUUGCAUUAGGCAAUCCGACUUGUACGUGACCAUGCUUUUGCACCAGUCUUCGCGUAAUCGUAGUACUAGAGCGCCUUGAUUACACCCAGUUCGGUCGGGUAGAAUUGCCUUAGGCAGUUCCGACUUGUGUGCUAGCUUAGAUGAUGAGCAAACUACUUAUAAUUGAUUAUCACAUGAUUAUAUUACUUUGGCAUUUGAUAUAUCAUGACUUGGCAUAUUUUUGGUUAUAUUGUUGUUAUAUUUGAUUACAUACUUACGUAGUAUGUUUUAAGGAAACUAUACUUGUUUUACGGCAAGGGGUUAGUAUAUUAAAAAAUUAAGGUUUUCGUAUAAGUAUUGUUUUACUGACCCACUCAACUAUGUUUUUCGCCCCUCCAGGUUUAGUAGCUGUGUUUACGCGUAUACGAGGAUUCUGGCAAAUCUCAGGAGAUGGUUAUCUUCAGUGGUAUAACCCUCAUCCUAAUUACUGUAUUGUCUUAUACUCUGACAUUACGUGUGAAAAGGGUUCAAUCCCGUUCACCCGCGCACUCUUUUGAUUAGGCAUUUUCAGGUUUAAUUUAUUCACUUUUUCCACAUCACUACACUUUAUGGCUUCGUCACCUUCUAGGUGUCGGCUAUCACAACUCGAUUUGGAGUUCUGGUAAACAUUCCGGGUCGGGGUGUGUCAUAUGCCCCACACUUUGUCUGUGAAAUUUUUAUUUUAAAAUGGAAAGGAGAAAGGGGAAAAAAGAAAUGUGGAUUAGAGAGAAAGUUUUUUCUUUUCUUUUUUUUUAAUAUUUUAUUUUUCAAAUUUAGAGGAUGUACAAGAGAAUUUAAUUUGUGUAAAUUUACUUUACUACUCAUGAUUUUAUUUUAUAGUAAAAGAUAAAAUUGUCUUUUUAUUCUCUUUUUGUUAAGAUUAGGAUGAAAGAGAAUUUCUCUACCUAGAUUCCCUCCGUCUCCGCUGCCAGCUCGUUCCCUCCCCUCCCAUUGGUUCGAUUUCUCCAUUGAGACUUAACCUCGACUGCAGACGACCACUCCCUCUCCCUCCUCCUCCUCGUCCAACAUUAGCUUCAAGCAAGUAGGUGAAAAAGCAAACACAAUCCUCCCUCCCCAAUAAAAAUACUACCACAGACACUGCUGCUCUCUACCUAAUCUAUUUAUUAUUAUUUAAUUACUAAUUAAAUCUAACCCAACCAAAAAUAAGAAAUUUAAAAAAAAUAGAGAUUCAGAGCCACUUAAUAAUAUGGCGUUAUUCUACACUUAUAAGUGAGAAAUUUUAAAUUUUAUAUUAUCGUUGUCAAAAAUAAAUUUAAACCACAUUAUUACUAAUUUGUUGUGCAUGCUCUCAGCCCUAGAGAUAAUAGCGUUAGUUUAAUAAAAAAAAAAAAAAUUAUGGCUGUUGCUCCUACUUGGUUGCUUUCCUUGUCAUUCUCCUCCCUGUUUUUACAUCUUAGCCGCGGGGCACACAGAGAGCGCAGUAACUAUGGCUGUUGCUCCUCUUUCUUUCUAAACUCCAACCAUCUCUCUCUCUCUCUCUCUCUCUCUCUCUCUCUCUCUCUCUCUAAAUCUUAAACCCUAGAAAAGCCUCUCUCUCUCAAUCUCUCUAUUUCUGUGCAGAGUUGCCAACACUAGAGAGAGAGAAAGGGCUUUUGGUUUCAGAUCGCGUUGAUAUCUCAGCUCAGCUCGCUCGCCGAUCUACGCCGUCUCGCCCGAGUUCGCUCAAUGGGCGGCUCGGACUAUUGAAAUGCUGGCUGCUGCUCUCCGCGAUUUCGAUGUUAAUCGCCCAAAAUGUCCGCUUCUUUAGCUGCUUUUGAGCGCCCCCUUCGACCUGCUGCUUCUAACACGGUACUCUUUCCUCCUCCCCUCUCCUUUUCUUGCUUAAAUUAGUAGAGUCGAUUUAUUUAUUUUAUUUUUGAAUAUUUGUUUAAAUUCGUUUUAGCUGCCUUUCGUGGGAAGCCGCCAAACUGAUGUUGUGAAAUGCGAUUUUUCAAUUUUUUUUUUUUUAGAUUUUGGUUUUCGUUAAAUCACGGGUGGUGGAAUGUUCGUCGCAAAUGUUGUGAAAUUCGAUUGCAUUAGAUUGAUUUUGUUUCCAUGUUCUGUUCUGAUUGCUGGAGCAAAGUGUACAAGAAAGGAAAUUAAAAGGCAAGUAAAUUCGACGCAAUGGUUCCCAUACUUGUUGGUGUGGCAAUGCACUUGUCGAAAUUAAUGAAGUUGCGCUUAGCCCGAGUUUAAUCGCCUAUUUUAUUUUUGACUGCUGUUGAUUUGGAUUUAGAAUGUUUCUUUUCUGUUAUGGAACAACCGAACAAGAAUUUCAUUAAGAUGAUACCAAUCGUGUACAAAACAGGAUGUACAAGUUUGGAAUGAAACUGCAGUGCAAUUUCCCUUCAUCCGAACAAACCCAAACGUGCCCAAGUUUUGAGGGAAUUGAUGGAAACUUCGAUAUUUUAAUGUGAAAUCAAUAUCUUUAUAUUUGAAUGUGUUCUUAACUUUCAGAUUCUCGAAAUCGCAGUCUGUCAGUUAUCAAUGUAACCUGAUCAUGUUUCGGUGUUCCUUGGCAUCCCUUGUGCUUAAUUUUGCAAAGUAGUUUCACAUUGUGCUUGGUGGGUGGGAAAUAUUUUCAUGCCUUCUAACAUAUCAGAUGAUCCAGCAGGUGUUCAAGAGUGGCCCACUUUUCAUAUCUUCUAAAGGUUGGUCUACAUCUCUUGUUCUCCUGUUCUGUUUCCACCCAAUGAUAGUUUUGGUUGCAUCGCAUUUCCAAUUUAUUCGUUAUAACGCUCAUUUGACUUCGACGUGAUUCAUUAAUCUUAGAAGGAAAAAAAUUGUAAAUCUGAAAUUUGUUAAUUGACCUUUAUAAUGUUAUUUUUACUUGGAAAAUAAUUCUUUACUAGACUUAUCAGCAUAUCAAUUCGUUGAAUCCAUUAAUUGCUUUGAUCAUUGCCCAAGUGUUUAUUUGUUAGACCAAUGGAUGUGGUACUAGGAACUAAGUUCUUUGGAAAUUUCAUAAGAUUUAGACCUAAAAGAUGAUUAAUGGGGGAGAUAACAAAAGAAAAAAAAAAACACAUCCGAAUGAAAGAGAGAAACAGAGAUAACACUCCGAAAAGAAACACCCAAGGCAUAUAAUUCUUAAACAGACCAUUUAAUUUCCAGAGAUAUUGAUAUCCUAUUUAUUUAUCUGAUUUGUACAUUGAUAAGUUUCUUUAACCUUAUCCUAUAUCCGUGCAGCGUCUGAUGUAAUUCAAAUAAACCAUCUCAUAGGUGUUAAGAGUAUUUUUUCUGAAAACUGUGUGCUUGUGGAUUUUUACUUUUUCAAGAGAAAUAACUAUUUUUGCUUGGUCUAAUUAUGAACAGCUAUUAAUAUGUUUUAAAUAAUUAAA
rnacentral:lncRNA from 1 species